AUGGCAACACCGUGCAGACCGCGAAGCGUAGGCCUCAAAGACAUCCUGGCCAUGAAGGAAUUCUUGGGCCUUGAGCGGUCGUUUAUUUGUUCUUGCUCUGGUGGUUCUUCCUUUUGUCCCUUGCUGUUCCGUGGACUGGAGGGGUCUAUACAUGGUGAGUUUCUUUUUCUGCCUUUUUGUAAGUUGCGGUUUGUUCUCCCAAUCCUGCACGUGACUGGGGUUGGGGGAAUUCUGUAGUUGGCUUUGUCCAUUGUUUUCUGUACCAGAACGUGGUUUAAGAACAGCUAUCAGUGCUGUCAUAAUGACACCACGUUUGCUCCAGGAAGGCACACUUUGAAUUACCUCUAGCACCGUCCCCACCAAAGACAGGCCGAGCUCUGACCUUCCCUGCUUGGGCCACUCACUCCUAUGUAUGGUGAGGGCCUUUCUGACCGGCGGAGCCAGGCGGCAUGCAGCUGCCCUAGAAGCAAGAAGGCUGAAGCCGGACAAUGUUUGGCCAAUCAAAGCACCAUUUGGUGAGGUGAGCAUACUCAGACGAGCAUUUCAAGUAGCAGUUCCUCUAAAACUUCCACUAAAGGCCAUUCAGCAGAAAUCCCCCAAACACAGACAGGCUUGAGAUGCUGGGUGGCCAAACCAAAUGGCGAGUGCCCUAUGCCAGCCAAACAGGAGAGAGUGCGAGUCAGGGUUCCGGCCUGCGGAGGAGGGAGAUGACCUCCACUGAGUGCUCUCUGUGCAUCCUGCUCUGGACAAAGGCCCUGUGUGUCUCACAAACCUGAUUUUUCAAAUCAGAAAAUCGGAGGCUUGAGAAGUUAAGUCCUGAGGCCUCCCAGGUGGUACAUGGCUCACCCAACAGCAUCUGUCUAUAUGUUUUUAAGAGCAUGCCCCGGCAGCCAUUAGAGUAUGGAGUGUAGAAAUUCACAGCACCACCUUUCACAGGAAACCAGGUGUAACUAUACUUUUGUGUUCUACAGACACGCAGGUGGGGUUGGAGAGGAGGCUACCACCAGGACACUGGACAUUGGAAGGCCAGGGUAAAUAGAUCCUCGGGGUCCAGGGAGACAGGGGUCUAGGACACAGAGCCUGCCAAGCACCAAUUUUGUAAAGUUCAGUGUUAAUGAGGAGAAAUGACCUGAGGAAAAUCCAACUGGGCCUCCUCUCCUAUGGAUCCAAAUUGUACCAAUUGAAAGGGGAAAAAAGGGUGGCUUCAAGGCACCCCAACUUUAAGUUUUUUAGUAGUCUGAGGCCCUUCUUUUCAGCUUUUGCUGGUUGUUUGCUGUCGUUCCUUUAUAAAACUCUUCCCAGUUUUUGAGGAUAGAGGUUGUGGUUGGCCCCAUUACAAGCAUCUUUUGCUCGGAUUGGAGCACCAUGAACUGAAAUACUGCAGUAUUUUAGGGAGGGAGACCCGGAGACUUAGGGGGUACGAACAAUGAGGCCAGGUGCUGGUGGAUCACAUGGUUACAGCUGCAUGUGGACAAGCACAAUUAAGGCAGUUUUACUGUGAAACAACAAAUACAGCAAAAUCACAAUGCCUGCCUGUGCUCUUAUCUAUAGGAACAUUGUGGGAUGGGAGUAGGAUGUGGCUGAAAUGGUGCAGCCCUAUCCACUUAGCUUGAUUCUCAACCCACAGUAGCUCCAAAUCACACUGGAAAAUGGGAGAAGCUUAUUUCUUAAAUAAAAGGUGGCAUGUUUUGAAGAAUCUCCUGGCAAUUUAAUUGUUAUAUAAGUUAUUUGGAUUUUUAAUAAAGGAAGUUUCAACCUGAAUUUUAUAGAUAAAAGGUUUUUGUUUCUCUCUCUCUCAAGCCCAUUUUCCCUAUUGACAAAUUUUGACCCAGGUCAGAGUAGCAUAAUCUAUGAUGCCUGUGUCCAAAUUAAAUGAUUCAGAAUCAGAAUCUCACGUGUAAAUAGAAAUCUCACAGGGUGUAAAAGAUACCAUCAUAAAGUAAAGCUAAACAAAAUAUCAGUAUCCGUUUUAUCAAAUACCUUAUAGGUUGAAGGUUAAACGAUGUUGGAAGCACAGAUGAACACGCAGUUGUGCCAGGAAUCAUGGUGAUGUUAAGAAAAUGUUUUCUUUUCAUUCUUUUUCUUGUCGAUGGGAAAAUAUCUAUCAGAAAGUAGAAAAGAAGGGAGGUGAGGGCUGGGCUUGGGGAAACAGUUGUCAGGAUGAGUGGUGGAUAUGAGCAUCCCGUUUAUUCUCACUCAACCCACGAGAAGGUCACACACAAGCCGUGUCUAGAAGGAAAGGGGGAAAGUGUGAGGCAGGUAAAGGAAGGCUGACCUCAGCUGAGCAAAGGGCAGAGAGGACUUGGCCACCAAUGGCAGCUUUGCAAAGAGCAGGUGGAAUCAGAGUGAGGCGUAACGGUCAACUGGAAUGUAUCUGACCCACAGUCCUUGCCUUUUCCUCAUACUAUUUGAAAAAUGUUGCCUAAAGUCUGUUUAGAAAGUGUACUGGGGAAUUCCUUACUCUUGGUUUGUGUGGGGCACAGAGGCAGCCAUGUGUGUCACAUGUCAAGGCAGGUGGACCAACUCUAGGGGCAGCGCAAGCUGCAUUCAGGCACAUUUGCUGAGAAAGCGCAGUGUCCUCUGUGUCACAGGAGCGUCGGCUGUGACCACCUAGUGUGGGCUGUGAGGGAGAAAGCAGGUUCCAGAAGGUCGUUCUGUGACUCUUUUCUUACUCCUAAGUCUUGGGGAGACACUGUUUGCCCUGAGGCUGAUGGAUAAGCUCCAUUCGUUUCAAUGGAAAUAUUCAACCCUAGUUGAAUGGGAGACACAGGAAAAAUGAACAUAAAUGUAAAGGUUCAAGUUGGAAAGCCAAUGAUGCAGUUCUAGCCUUUGUGGAAAGAUCCAUAGGUCGCUUUCUGAGAUGUCGCAUGUUCACGGUGCUUCCAUUUCCAAAGCAAACCAGGCUGCUGGGUGAAGCCACUGGUGCCAAUCCUCACGAGUCGCUGAGAUCAGAAACACAAGUGCACGUCUGCCACCGUGCACUAACUCGCAUCUCAGAGACACAAGCGCACGUCCACGCCUGUGCGCUAACUCGCUUCUCAGAGCACUGGCUCACGGGCAGUCUCCGGUGUAUUCAUCACCGGGGCUAAACCUUACUGAACUAACUCAAAGGGGAGAGCUUCUCAAAAUGCAUAGUGCGUGCAUAUAACUGGGAGAGCUUGAAAAAGACAGAAAUCCCUAAGCGCCAAUCCCAGAGAGGCUGCCUCAGUUGGCCAGCUGUGGAGCCCGAGAAUCUGCAUCUUACCAAAGCUCUCCCAGUUCGUUCUGACACAUGUGGUCUGAGAAUCCCGUGUUGAGAAAUACCACUGGAACGGUGCAUUUAAAAACAGUUCCUCAGAAGCCUACUGUCUGUUUAGGUUUACAGUUGAUAGGAUGAUGCAAAUGUAUUAAAAUCUCUCUGUAAAUACAUCCUCAAGUGGCCUGAGUUGAUAGUGAACCGUUUUGCAGUGUGUGUCUUAGUGAAUAACGCCAGUAUUGGCUCAGUUGAGUGGAACACGCACAAACUCAUUAAAUCUCAAGUGUGUGUUUCAGGUGUUGGCGAGGUCACAUUGCUCCUUCAGCUUAGGUCAUGCAGAGGAACAUCAGCAGCGGCCGGCCUGGGUGUUGUCCGCGCCGCCUCUCUGGCUUGGUGGUGCAUCACUCCUCUCCCUUAGCUGCCUCGCCUUGGACAUGCGUCUUGGCUAUGACAAACACGCAGGGGACUGCGCGGCCGGAGUAGUGGGGCGGGGCCUAGGAG
rnacentral:lncRNA from 1 species